rnacentral:rRNA from 1 species
AGCAGCCGCGGUAAUUCCAGCUCCAAUAGCGUAUAUUAAAGUUGUUGCAGUUAAAAAGCUCGUAGUUGAACUUCGGGGUCUACCCAUUGGUCAGGCUUAAUUGUCUGCACUGGUGAGAUGGAUCUCUACCUUCUGAGGAACUUUCAUGCCAUUUAUUUGGUGUGAUGGGAAAUCAGGACUGUUACUUUGAAAAAAUUAGAGUGUUUAAAGCAGACUAUCGUCUGAAUACAUUAGCAUGGAAUAAUGAAAUAGGACGGACUGAUUCUAUUUCGUUGGUUUCUAGGAUCACCGUAAUGAUUAAUAGGGAUAGUUGGGGGCAUUAGUAUUCAAUUGUCAGAGGUGAAAUUCUCGGAUUUAUUGAAGACUAACUACUGCGAAAGCAUUUGCCAAGGAUGUUUUCAUUAAUCAAGAACGAAAGUUAGGGGAUCGAAGACGAUCAGAUACCGUCGUAGUCUUAACCAUAAACUAUGCCGACUAGGGAUCGGACGAAGUUAAUUUUAUAAUGACGCGUUCGGCACCUUACG